rnacentral:rRNA from 1 species
CAUCUUUUCUUGUUAGUUUCUGAAGUAUGGCCUGCCCACUGACUUAGAGUUGAAGGGCCGCGGUAUUUUGACCGUGCAAAGGUAGCAUAAUCAUUAGUUCUUUAAUUGUGAUCUGGUAUGAAUGGCUUGACGAGACAUAAGCUGUCUUAGAGGUAUUGGUUUAUUGAAUUUGGUUUUUGAGUUAAAAUUCUUAAAUGUUUUUAUGGGACGAGAAGACCCUAUAGAGUUUGACAAUUUUCCUAUUUAUUCGUUGUUUGUUUUAUUUACAUUGAGUGGGAGUGAAUUGUUUUGUUGGGGUGAUGGGAGGAAUAUUGUUUAACUCCUCUUUGUUUUUAUAUAUUUAUGUAUAUAUUUUUGAUCCAUUUAUUUUGAUUAUAAGAUUAAAUUACCUUA